UGCCCACCCCUCCGCCUGCCGGGCACCGCCUCCUCGGGGGCCGGCGUGGCCCGCUAUUGGCUGGGGUAGGAGGGCGUGGCUGCGUUCGCCAAUGCCCGCCUCAAUGCUCUGGCAAAGGCGUGGGAAUGCGGCCGCCGCGCACCUGGGACCCUGAGCUGCGCGCGGGCUGGGAGAGGCCGCGGAGAGCGUAAGCGCGGGCUGCUUAAUUCCAGCUAGUGAGCGCGCGGUCUCAGACGCCAGCGCGGCGGAGGCGGAGGCGAGCCGGCGAGGGGCGGGCUCUGGAUCUGGGGUUUCGGCCCUCCUCAGCUCCCGGCGGUCUCGCCCAGGGAGUCUUAGUUCUGUGUUUAAAGAAUAACCCCAAGCGCGUGGCUGAGUGUGAACAAGCGUGUGUGAUGUCGGGAGGCGCCGUGACUUAACCGAACCGCCCCGCUCGGCUGUCCCUUGUCUGGACCAAAACUGCUGACUGGCUGACCCCAGCGGUCACAUUUGCCCUGUGGGGUUUUUGAAAACCUUAAAUCAAUGUUGCUUUUCUCUCUGACAACUCCUGAGGCUACUUCCGCGGCCUCUGAGCUGUGGACAGAUAAAGACGCAAGUUUCCCCGACCAGACCUGUAGGGUCGGGAAGGAGUAGAGGAAAAGAUGUGGACAGGAAAAGACUGAAACCCGGGCAAGAAUUGCUCUCAGGGAGUGCGGGAAGGAGCCGGAUCAACGCAGAGGACCCGCAAUGUGGGUGUUAAACUCUGAUUAAAACAUAAAACUCCUUCCCCACUUGCCUCGGUUUCUUUUGUGCGGUCCCUACAGCGGUGCCUUCAAUAACCGUGUGAACAGAAAUCCGAAACGUCCCAUUCUGCCUUCUGAAACGUAACCCCGGGCUAAUAACACAAUCAGCGUGGAGCGGGUGGGGCCUGGUAGGGUUAGACCCGGGUCAGUGCCUGGCCCCGAGUCCCCGGGUGGCCGUCACUCUCCAUCUCGGCUAUCAACCUCAAGCGUGCGCCCUGCCUGCGUGGGACUUCUGGCCUCUGUCCGCGGUAGCGCAGGCUGCUUGAGAGCGGUUGCUCAGAACAGAGUAGGCCAGCAACCCGACGCCAUCCCCGCUCCAGGUCCCCGAAAUCCUUUUGAGGGUGAGCCCAGUGCACACAGGAUCCCGGCCCCAGCUCUCCAGACUGAGCGCGCGAGUGGUUAUUGCUCCCCAGCCACAGGUGAACACUUGGCUGCUGGUCUUCGCGAGCUCAGCCUUCACAACUCUGGGUGAGGGCUGCACGUUUUUCAGAAUGCCUACAAGUUCAAUUAACGUUUGCCACGCGAGCAAAUUAGCGGGCGCUUCCAAACGCCUGAAGGAAAACCUAAAAUCAUAAUUGGAAAAAAAAAAAACCCCUACGUCCCCCCCCCACUAGUGUAUUUAAUUAUAAUGAUUGCGAAAAAUUGCAGAAGGAAAUGGUUUGCUUGCAAUAAAGUAGCAACUGGUUAAAGUAUUUCCAUAUUUGUCUUUGAAGACUUACCCGCUGUACCGUGUCAUAAAGAAAAACACAGCAGGGACGAAAGCACACACGGAUUUAGUGUGUGUGUGUGUGUGUGUGUGUGUGUGUGUGUGUGUGUAAAUAAAAGCAAAGAAGAUCAUAUUUUUAAAAUGUUUAGAACAGUAUAUAGUAGGCGUUGUAUCUGGUAAAGAAGAAUGCUUAGAGCAAAAGACAGCAUUUUGAACUCUAUGGAAAGGGUACGCUCAUUUAUUUUUAAAAUACUUAAUACAGAAUUAGGGCGACUUUUCCAUUAGAUCUUUUAUUCCCCUCAAAUAACUCAUUUGCCUGUCCCCUUAGGUGCCUUGUCCUUCUCCUGUCCCUCUAGUCUUGGGUUAGAGGGAGAAACAGAGGAAGUUCUCUUAAAGACCCCAGCCUCCAGCAUGCUUAAAAAAAAUCGCGGAUUGGAGGUGGGGGGCGGAGUAAGGAGUUUUGGGUGGGGUAGGCAGAAAGAAAAGAGAGAGAAAAUGAGAGAAUGGCGGGAUUUUAAGCUUCAUUGCCCUUCGGUGACAUCCUUUUCAGGGAAAGUUUGUUGAAGGCUUACUAAGACUAGAAAAAAAAAAGAUGCCCGCGAGUAGAGAAAGUAACCUGCAGUUACUCUCUUUCUUUUUGAAAGAUUUGAAUAACGAGAUAAUUAGACUGAUGGAUAAGGUGGUAGUGAUGGGGGGAGGACUGUCCUAGAAACAAAAUGCUCUUGAGAAUGAAAGGCCAGGACGACAGAUCUAAAGGGAAUGGAGGAAGGGAGACUGUCGCCUUCGCGAAAUUGGUCCUUUGCCCGUGUUUUGUGCUUAUGUGAUUCAACUGUCUUAGUGGCCUGAGAAUGGUAUGUCCAGUGAAAUUUGAUCAGAAGAUAUCCAAUUCAAUGGUUUGGGUAUUCCUCUCGGACGACUUUCCCCCUACUCAUUUAUUAUGAAGUUAGUUUUCGCAUCUAUAUUGAUACAUUUGACAAUCUUGACCAAGUCUUAUCUUGUCCCACAAAGUUUGUGUUUUGUUGUACAAACUAAGGAAGUGAUUGCUUUACUGUAAUUCUAAAAAUUCUCUUCUGGCAUUUUGGGAAUGAAUUGGGUUCUCUUUUUAUUAUUUUUGAUCUGCUUUUCUCUUCAUUAAAGCCCUCUGAUUUUUUUAAGAUCCGUGUUCACACUUUGUUAUUUGAGGCUUUUCUGAAUCCUUGAGACUAUUUAAAAUUAUUUAUAAAAUGCCAUGUAUCCCAGCAUUUGGCUCAGAAAGCCAUCAAAGGCAUAUCACUUUAAAAAUGUUUGAAGGUAGUUUUGAGAGAAGUGAAGUCAGGGCAAUUCUGUUAUUUAGAGAGCUUUCUAUAACCUAAAUGCACAUAGUUCAAGCAGAGAAGUCCAAUAUUUUACACCUUUUGAAAUGUAAUAAUUUACAGGGCUCUCUCCUACAUAGGGAGGAUAAAUAGGUUCCUCUGGUAAGUGCUAGUCUAUUUGCAAUUGCUGGGGCAGGUGAUAAGCACAAGUGUAUCUGUGGGCGGCCUGGCUGGGAGGUCUUCCUUGAAUACAUGGCUAUGCUGAGCUGGCAACGCCUUAAAAUGAGUGAGAAUGCUGAGCCAGGGAAGUGGAAGCCAAGGGUAAGAUCCUUGUGAAUUUCAAUACCUUUCCUAACAUCAGGCUGGUAGGAGGCAGGCCAGUCUAGGGUCACUGUGGGACACAAAUUUGCAAGCCAGUAAAGCAAAACAAAGCUCAAAACCAAGGAUAAAUUUUGGCCCACCAAAUUUUCAAGGUUGGUCAUCUCUAAGGAGCUGAUUUACCAGUUUUAACAAUAUUCAUGUCUAAGUCGCUACACUCCUGCAUUAUUUCUUCCCCAUUAGGAGCUAUUUAUUUGUUAUAUCCAAUAUUCUGAGAAAGGAUGUCUAAGAUCCCAAAUACUCUUUUCCUGGAAGUUACAAUGUUUAAAUUGAUCUCUGCUUUAAGGGAAAAUUUAUUUAAAAGCUUUUAUUUCAUGGUGUUAUUAGUGCUGUUAUUAGUGCUUAGCACAUGUUCAAGGAUGAAGACUGUUUUAUUGUAGGACCCUGAAAAGGAGGUUGUGUAGCAAGUAAAUUUUUCCAUAUUCCAGUAAAUAGCAGCCAGAAGAUAUCAACACACUGUAUUAACUGAACUCUUCAUGAGGAUUAAAUUUAUGUUGGCAGGGUUUUCUUUUAAGGAAAGCUUUAAAUGUCCAUAUUCUUGAAAUUGUUUGAUUGGCAGAUUUUCCCCCCUUUUAAGGAUAUAGAAAAACACAUUCUCUUCUAUCAUGAAAAUGAUCUUUUAACUAAUGGUAUCCUCAUCCUCUGGAAUAAUGAGUGGCAUAUAGUGGGUAUAAUAAAUGGUUUGGAAUAAUAUUUUUGUUAAAAUUAAUGAACCCUCUGCUUUUUACUAUAGAGUUUAGAUAUAUUGAUAUAAAAUAUAAAUAACCAUGAAUUAAAGGGCAUGAAAAGAUGAGGAGAAUAUACUUAAAUAUGAAGAGGAAAGCAUAUAUUGAGAAUGGGGCCUUAGUUCAGCCCUGAGCUUGCUGAAAGCCAAAUCAGAAGAAAAAUAGUGAAUUUUCUAAUUUCUAUAUUCAUAUAAUUAGAAGCACAUAGUUUCUCACAAAAGAAAAACUUUAUCUAGUUACUGAAUACUAAAAGAACUACAUGAUUGUCUUGGUCACAGAUUUUUAAAAUUAUUUAAGAUAAUUAUUUUCUUUGUCAAAAAUUAUCUUGAAAAUAUCUCUAUUAAUUACAACAUGAAAAAUAAAAUUGACUUGAUGCAUAAAUGAAAACAAUAGUUUUUCUCCUAAUAGCUGGAAAAAACCAUCCACUAAACUGUCAAAAUUAAUUAAUCGACAUUAAUAGGACCAGUGUCUCACAGUGUUCCAAAAAAAAUGUUAAUUCUCAGUAAGAAAGUGUCUGCUUUCAGUUUCAAACAGAAAAAGAAAUUUCAAUGAGAGAUUUCUCAAUCUGGCAUUACAGAGAGACUCUUGAUAUUUUUGAAAUAUAAAGUACUAUGGAAAGUUUUAAGACUAAACAUAUUUGCCCAUAGAAUGCAAAUGAACAUCUAUAUUUUCUUUUUAAAAAAAUAUUUAUUUUUUAGUUAUAGGUGGACACAAUAUCUUUAUUUUAUUUUUAUGUGAUGCUGAGGAUCAAACCCAGUGCCUCAUACGUGCUAGGCGAGGGCUCUAUCUCUAAGCCACAAUCCCAGCCCUAUAUUUUCUUAAUACAUUUAUUGGAACAUUUUUAUUAGAUAUGUGCAGUUUUAUACCCUCUUAUUUUAAAAUUGUUAGGCAACUAUCUGGAAAAAAAGAAAACCAGAAUAGAUUAGAAGUAAGAACUUUCUAAUUUUAGAUUUACUGUGGAAAAAAAUACAGGCUAUUUUUGGACCUUUGUGAUUUGUCAAUUUAUUGAAAUAUAUACUGUCCAAGAAUCAUAGAAAAAUAACAAGCUCCCUUCCCCCACUUGACAGGGCUAAAUUUAUUCUACCAGGUAAGAAUUUAACUAAUUCUUAAUAUAUAUUGAUUAAAAGGUUAAAAGCACAGCUGUUUUUUUUGUUGUUGUUGUUGUGCUAGCUUUCAAAAUGAUUUAAUAAUAUAAUAAUAUGUUGGGAAUAUUGAACUAAAUUUUUUUUUAGAGGUAGAUUUGGGUCUAAAGUCAUAGCUCAUGUCUUUUCUAAGAAAUAAAUACUUUAAAGAAAAUAGCAGUUUAUUGAAGGAUUUCAAUAUUCACUACUGCAGUGCACUCUUUGAAAACAGAAUGUAAUGCUCCUUAACAGAGAGCAACUAAGCUCAACUGCAGCAUGGAGAAAGAAGGACAGCGCGAUAUGCCUUGAAUAUGUAAGAAAAGUAGACAUUUGUUUCCAUAGCACUUUUAAUCUGAUUAUUGAAUUAUGAAUCAGCACUCACAGUGCUGGAGGAUUUUGUUGUUGUUGUUAAGCCUAGCUAUCAGGAUUUUCCUAGAAUAACAGUCUCAAUGGGAACAUUAAAGAAAAUUUGAAAGACAAAAUGUGAUUAUAAAAUAGAGUACAAAGAAAUUACAGACGUAGGCAUGUAUGUAUACUUCUGUCUACAAAUAGAAGUAACUAUAGGUUUUUUUUAAAAAGCACAAAAUAAUUAAAGGUUUUAUAAUUGACAUGACUUGGUUUUUGGUAUAUAAAAGGCCAGGCCUAUAACUUAACUCAGGAAAAUUGCUGCAUUUUGGAGUUAAAACCAUUUGCAAAUGGCAUUUAUUGAUUUUAAUAUAUUUGGGUGGUAUUAAUUUUUGAGAAUUGUAUUCAUUAUAUUUUAGUUUAAUUUACUUAAAAAACUGUAAAAUAAAAUAAUACCUUAUCUUUUGUCUAUUCUAUUGUCUACAUUUUAGAGAAGUUUCUUUAUGAAGUUUUAAAAACUAUACCCUUAAAGCCACACAUUAGUAUUUUGUACCUCUUAGGAUAAUGGCAAUAAAAUUGUUAUGACAGAGAGUUGGAAGAGUAAUUCUUCCUGCUCAGAUGGAACACUUGAAAAAUCAUGUCCUCUUUGCAUGAAACCAUGACAUAUUGCAUAAUUAGUUAUAUACUUGUUUGUAGAGAUUCUAGAUGAGAUAAAAAUAUUUGAAAAAAAAUUUAGAUGUUAACCAUAUAUUCAUGUUUUUUGGAGUGUGACUUUGGAGAAGAAUGUCCAUACUUUAAUUUUAACAAUGAAACACUUUGUUCUUAUUUAAAAAUGGAGUUUGAGAACAUUAUAGUGGAGAUUAAAUAGAUAUAACUCUGUGUAGUAUGUGGCAGGGUGGGAAUGAUCUAAAAAUGAACCAAAGAGGUUAUAAGCAGAGAUCAUUGACAGAACUGUUAGUGUGUAUACUUGAAAGUAAUAAGACUAACUUCCAUUAGUCAUUGCUUGAUUUUUCUCAUAAUUUUUUCAUUCUCAUUUCCAGGCCAUUAAGAUACUGACCACCUACUUUGAGCAAUGUUUCCUGCUAAGUAGUGUGGGCGAGAUAUGAUGAACAGGAUUCAAUUCCUGCUCUCUGGAAAUAGCAAGGAAAAUAAUACGGGAGUCUAAACAAACAACUGGUAUAUAAAAUGGGAUGUACUGAAGGCCAAAGUAAGCAGAAAAGUACAUGUUAUGGACCCAAAGAAAGAAAAGAUUCAUUUUUAAAGGGAGAUUUCAGUAGUGGCAGCUCUAAAAUGUUUGUGUAGGGUUAGAGACAGUAAUCUUGUGGGAAGGAGGAGGGUGGCCCAUGGAUUUGUAUUUUCAAGCUCCAUUUAUGUAACAAGCACACUAUUUUUACUUAGAUAUUAUAUCUAUUGUGCUCUUAAACACUAUGGGAGGUGAGCAUCUAUACCUAUUUAUCCUUUAGUGCUAUCAUGGGGUAAAGAGGAAAUGUGGCAUUUGAGCAGGUCCUUGAAAGAUGCACAAAAUAGCUACAACUUUAAAUAGACCUUUUUAGAGCAGGAUCAGCAUUUGCAAAGACAUAGGGAUCAUCAUUUGCACUCACAGACUGAAGAGUGCAAAUGAUCAUUAGGCAAAGAUGGGUGGUGCUUAGUUUGAAUCAGGGAAAUGGAAGGAAAGUGAGUGGAGGGAAGAGAGUUGCCUUGGGAAAUGAGUCAGGCUGCAGGCAAAUUGUGGAGGAUCUGGGUAAUCACCUAAAGAAAAAUUAAGAUUCACUGGAAGACCUGGGGUUGUGGCUCAUUGGUAGAGCACUUGCCUCAUGUGUGUGGGGCAGUGGUUUCCAUCCUCAGCACCACAUAAAAAUGAAUAAAAUAGAUAGGGGUAUUGUGUCCAUCUACAACUAAAAAAAAAAAAAUUAAAAAGAAAA